GCUUUACUGUAGCUUGGAAUUGGAUUUGGGCCCCUUUUGCGCAGCCUAGGUGGGAGGCUAUGAGAGUCCUCUUCCGGGAGGGCUGGAGCCAUCAGUGAGAGACCACUCUGGAGGGGCUAGAAUUCUAAUGGUGUUCCUUGAAACAGGACGCUUAACAGUUUCAGGUGGCAGUUUGACUGGGGCGGUCACCUCCUAAAAGGUAACGGAGGUGUGCAAAGGUUCCCUCAGGCUGGACGGAAAUCAGCCGUAGAGUGUAAAGGCAUAAGGGAGCUUGACUGCAAGACCUACAAGUCGAGCAGGGGCGAAAGCCGGCCUUAGUGAUCCGACGGUGCCGCGUGGAAGGGCCGUCGCUCAACGGAUAAAAGUUA
rnacentral:rRNA from 1 species